rnacentral:rRNA from 1 species
GAUCAACGCUGGCGGCGUGCUUAACACAUGCAAGUCGAACGAAGUUUUUCCUUCGGGGGGAACUUAGUGGCGGGCGGGUGAGUAACUCGUGGGUAACCUGCCCGGUACAGGGGGACAACAGCUUUAAGCGGCUGCUAAUACCGCCUAGGCCCUUAGCCCUGCAUGGUGGAGGGGGAAGAGGAGCAAUCCGGUACAGGAUGGACCCGCGUCUGAUUAGCCAGUUGGCAGGGGAACGGCCUACCAAAGCGACGAUCAGUAGCCGAUCUGAGAGGAGGUACGGCCACAUUGGGACUGAGACACGGCCCAGACUCCUACGGGAGGCAGCAGUGGGGAAUAUUGCACAAGGGAGGAAACUCUGAUGCAGCGACGCCGCGUGAGUGAAGAAGUAUUUCGGUAUGUAAAGCUCUAUCAGCAGGGAAGAAAAUGACGGUACCUGACUAAGAAGCACCGGCUAAAUACGUG